AAUUUUUGGUCUAGUUGAAAUAACUAACAACUAAAGCAUAAGCAUUUCUUUGUCUUCUCGACACUUGUAAAUAAUAUUUGUUAAAAUGCCCAUAACUGAUACGAUAUUGAUCAAUAGAAAUAUACAUUUUCACUUCCAACACCAGCUUCCACCCUGAAAAAGUUCAUUGACUUAAAAAUUAUCGCCAUCGUAUAUGAGCCAUUGUGCAACAAUGCUAAAAAAUACGUUUAAUUUAAAAAAAAGCAGAAUCAGUUACUCAUAAAUUAAAACUUGUUAAACUAUAAUUUUUUUUGUCAACACUCCCUAGAGAGCAAUAAACAGACAAUAUUUUUAAAAUCGUAUUUGCAAAAUGCCUUUAUAUCUCUCGAAAUACUUUUGGCACACACUAACAUACAAUUCUACUUGGAAUGAAAACACAGCAACAACAACAACAACGCCAACAACACCAACAACAACGCCAACAACAUCAACAACAACAAAAUGAGCAAAUAUAAAUAAAUUUACUUAAAUAAACAAUAAUCGAACCUUAAUAAGAAAAACGUACAACGAAUACAAAAACAACAAAAUAAACAACAAAAAAGAGUCAAUGAACGAUCAAUGAAUUCACAAUAUAUUUAAUUUUUUUUAUUUCUAAAUGAAAUUGCAUUGUAAUACUAUAUGUGUCUUGACUGCUGCAGCAACAUCAUCAUCAGCCACCACAGCAACAGCAAUAACAACAGAAGCAUUGAUGAGGACGAUAUGAUCGUCAUCAACAACGACUGCUUGUUUUUUCUUUUUGUAUUAUUUCUUUUACAAAUAAAGAAAAAUCAUCAAUACCCUAAACAAAGUGCAAGUGUUUUGUACAUACAGUAUGAGAAUGAGGCAUCAAAUUAAGAUAGUGCUUAACAAAAAGCUCAGCGCAUGCGCGUACAUAUUUCUUUUCAUUAUGCACAUGAGCAGCAACAAUAUUAACAUUUGCAAGUUUAAUGCAUUCAAACCUGGACAGACGAAUAGAUGGAUGGAUGAAUGGUUGGACGUACAUAUAUAUGUAUGGUUAAACGGAGACUUAGUUGUAGCAAAUAUUUUUAUUAUAAGUUGUACGUGCCGGGCCGAAUUGUCAACCAAUCAAGCAAUACAUUAUUAUUACACACAACCAACCUACCGACCAACUUAAAACCAUCAGAUGAUCAUCAUCACAAACACCACAACACCAUCAGCACCAUCAUCGUCAUUAUCAUCAUCAUUUUUAUUAUUACAGACCAUACAAUAAAUGUUGUUGUUAACAUUACUAAUACUA